AAAGGAAUAGACGGGGGCCCGCACAAGCAGCGGAGCAUGUGGUUUAAUUCGAAGCAACGCGAAGAACCUUACCUAGACUUGACAUCUCCUGAAUAGCGUAGAGAUACGUGAAGCCCUUCGGGGCAGGAAGACAGGUGGUGCAUGGUUGUCGUCAGCUCGUGUCGUGAGAUGUUGGGUUAAGUCCCGCAACGAGCGCAACCCUUAUCAUUAGUUGCUACCAUUAAGUUGAGCACUCUAGUGAGACUGCCCGGGUUAACCGGGAGGAAGGCGGGGAUGACGUCAAAUCAUCAUGCCCCUUAUGUCUAGGGCUACACACGUGCUACAAUGGUGAGAACAACGAGAUGCAAUACCGCGAGGUGGAGCCAAACUUGAAAACUCAUCCCAGUUCGGAUUGUAGGCUGAAAUUCGCCUACAUGAAGUUGGAGUUGCUAGUAAUCGCGAAUCAGAAUGUCGCGGUGAAUACGUUCCCGGGCCUUGUACACACCGCCCGU
rnacentral:rRNA from 1 species